rnacentral:rRNA from 1 species
GAAAACAGCCAUGUCACUACGAAAACACCUGUUCUCGUCCGAUCACCGAAGUUAGGAAACGUCGAGCCUAGUUAGUACUUAGAUGAGUAACCGCUUGGGAAACCUUGGUGCUGUAAACG